rnacentral:rRNA from 1 species
AUUGAACGCUGGCGGCAGGCCUAACACAUGCAAGUCGAGCGGCUGAAGGGAGCUUGCUCCUGGAUUCCGCGGCGGACGGGUGCGUAAUGCCUAUGAAUCUGCCUGUUAGUGGGAGAUAACGUUCGGCAACGGGCGCGAAUACCGCAUACGUCCUGAGGGUGAAAGAGGGGGAUCUUCGGACCUCACUCUAUCAGAUGAGCCUAGGUCGGAUUAGCUAGUUGGUGGGGUAAAGGCCUACCAAGGCGACGAUCCGUAACUGGUCUGAGAGGAUGAUCAGUCACACUGGAACUGAGACACGGUCCAGACUCCUACGGGAGGCAGCAGUGGGGAAUAUUGGACAAUGGGCGAAAGCCUGAUCCAGCCAUGCCGCGUGUGUGAAGAAGGCCUUCGGAUUGUAAAGCACUUUUAGUAGGGAGGAAGAGCAAUCAGUGAAUAAUUGCCGAUACUGACGUUACCAACAGAAUAAGCACCGGCUAACUACGUG